AUUGAACGCUGUCGGCAGGCCUAACACAUGCAAGUCGAACGAGUGGCGGACGGGUGAGUAAUGUCUGGAAAACUGACCGAUGGAGGGGGAUAAAUACUGGAAACGGUAGCUAAUACCGCAUACCCUCGGAUGUGCCAAGCUCGGAUUAGCUAGUCGGUGGGGUAACGGCUCACCUAGGCGACGAUCCCUAGCUGGGCUGAGAGGAUGACCAGCCAGACUGGAACUGAGACACGGUCCAGACUCCUACGGGAGGCAGAAGUGGGGAAUAUUGGAUAAUGGGCGCAAGCCGGAUGCAGCCAUGCCGCGUGUAUGAAGAAGGCCGUCGGGUUGUAAAGUACUUUCAGCGAGGAGGCGUUACUCGAAGAAGAAGCACCGGCUAACUCCGUGCCAGCAGCCGCGGUAAUAC
rnacentral:rRNA from 1 species